AUGGCUGAGGUCAGGCGUUCUGAAGUUCUGGCUGCAUCACGGUCCCGUACGGGAUGGCUUGAUGAACCCCCUCCUACGUCUACAUCUCCUACAUCUCCAGCAAAGCCCUUCAUUUCAAGUCUGCGCUCAACUUUUGAGCAACGAACGAACCAGACACAAGAUGGUGCUGAGCGACGACGCGUGGCACCGGCAGGCUCCAAGGCAGGGUCUAAGGUCAGCUCAAUUGCAAAUAUGUUCCAGGCCCGUGAUGAUUGCAAAACUGCCUCCAAUGAAUCGCUCUCACGCACGUCCCCCCUAGAGCCAAACACAGCCGAGGCAGCAAGACCGUCGGGACCGCCAACAUUAACACGGAGUGACAGUCAUGUUGCACGGUUUUACAAUGCGCGCGCCAUGUUUGAGCGUCUGCAGGAGGCAUCCAAAAAACCCCAGCCUGUGUCGGGGCGCAAAGGAAGUGUCGCCAGCUCACCAGCUAGCUCUCCAUCCUCUGCCACCCCCGCCACAUCAUUUCCCAAAUGGAACGAAGAGGGGCCUGCCGAGGAAUGUUCCCAAAGCCUUGUAAAUGGAGACUCCCAGCACAGUGCCAAAGGCAGUAUUGAGGCAGUCAUUGACCCUGCCAGGAAUGGGCCCAGUUCUGCCAUCUCCAACGGUGUUACAAGGCCAGAGCUGCCAGGAACGUGUGCUGGAAAAGAUGCUACAGCCUCUGAAGUUGAACCUCCUGUUAAGGUGCCACAGCACAAAAAGCCAUCUGCGCCACCACGGGUAGAAUCAUUGAGGCGGUCAUCCGAAGAUGGUCUCUUGCAGGCGGAGUUGCCUCGACUACCCGAAGAUGCCAGUGCUGUGCCACAGGAACCUCCAGUGCCCCCACACAGUCAGCCUGUGGGUGAAGAAGCAAAUCAAACUCUGUCAUCUGCUCAAAGUAGUUCUAGUUGUUCAUUAGACUCAGGGACUGGGGAAUCUCGAAUUUCAGACCAAGCGAGUGAACGAUUGGAUGCCCCUUUGCCAAAAAACUCAGUGCCUGUAUGCUCGAACAAACCACAGCAGGAGCAUAGCACAGUGCACCUAAAAGAAGAUAGCCCACUCUGUGCUGAUCCCGGUGAAGCACAAGAAGGAGAAAAGAGCUGGGGAGCUUCAGAAGGAACUGACAGUGCCAAACAGCCUUUAGGCAGUGUGUUUGCUCGGGCCAACAAUAGCAAGCCACCGUUGCCUUCUAAACCUCCGGUGCUCCAUCAUGCUCCUUCCAAGCAUGACCCUUGUCCCUCAGUUGAAAUGGAUGAUGUGCCUCAUUGGCCUCAGCAAGAUUAUGUUGGCCACAACGGGAUUAGCGAGCCCCCUUCCAACAGCGUUAUUCUCUAUACACUAGCAGCAGCAUCAGGAAGAUCUACAAUGCUUUUACAACAGGACACUGUCUGCCAUGACAAGUACAGCAACAACAGUGGUUUAAAGCAUGCCGCGGGUGAAACCUUGGCAGAGCUUGGGACGCGAGAGCAUGAAUUAUUCAACGUUGAAGCAGUCAUAAAUUCGCGCUCAUACAAAGGAGAUCCAUUUGGAGAUAUUAACCUUGAUGCUCAAGUGGAUGGCAGUGGUGUGGAGUUUAUGACACAGGAGGAGGCAGAUAAACUACUUAGUUCAAGCCGGCAGCAAGAGAUACUGAGUGAUGAAGAAGCGCAAGAGGUACGACGGCUGCUUGUGUUGCGCACGCCGUCGCCAACGGUGGCUGAAGAGGAGAGUCGGCCACCCAGCGUAGUGCUGGUGGAGGAGGAGGGCGUCGCCUACCAUGUGCUGCCAGAUGGAAACUUCUUUACUGAACAGCCUGGCCUGGCAAGCGACGACGAGGAAGAGCCAUAUCCGGUGCCCUUCCAGCCACGCCCCACACGAGUCAAAUUCAGCACUGAACCCAUCAAGGUUUUCAGCACGCAUUCAGUUGACGAGUAUGAUAGACGGAACGAUGAAGUGGAUCCAGUAUCGGCAUCGGCAGAAUAUGAGCUUGAAAAGAGAAUCGAAAAGAUGGAUGUGUUUCCUGUUGAACUUGUAAAAGGCCCAGAAGGACUGGGCCUCAGCAUUAUUGGCAUGGGAGUUGGUGCCGAUGCUGGGUUAGAAAAACUGGGAAUUUUCGUCAAAACUAUUACAGAGAAUGGAGCUGCCUACAAGGACAACAGGAUUCGUGUCAAUGACCAAAUCAUAGAAGUUGAUGGAAAAUCUCUGGUUGGUGUCACACAAGCCUAUGCUGCUUCAGUUUUGCGAAACACAUCUGGUCUUGUUCGGUUCUUGAUUGGGCGUGAGCGGGACUCGACAAACAGUGAGAUAGCGCAGCUCAUCUACCAGUCAAUUCAGGCAGACAGGGAACGGGAGGCUCGGCUCAAAGGCAUGGCCCAAGAGGUGGUUCCUGGUAGUGGGCUGGACUCCCUUGCUUCGACUCCUGACGACGAAGUGGAUGAAUUGGCUCCUGGUGCCAGCUUCGAGCUUUCAAAUGACAGCAGCGAUUCCCUCUCGCCUGACGCUGACCCAGACAACUUACGGCUGCGGUUCAAGGAAACACAAUACCGUCUGGCAGUGGCUGAGGCAGAGGCACGGUCUGUGCGUGAGCGACUGUCAUUGGCCGAAGGCGAGCGGCGAGAUCUGGGCCGUCUGCUGGAGGGGGCCCAGGGACGGCUGCAAGAGGCAGAAGCAGCGGGCCAGGCGCUGCGGUUGGAAGCUGCCCAGCAGCGCCAAGCAGCCCAUGAUUUGCGUGAGCGUUUGGUUGCCCUUGAGGCCAAGUAUGCUCGUGCCAAGCGCUUGCUGCGUGAUCUGCAACAGCGUGCCCAUGAGGCUCGCCAACGUGAAGAGUACCACUUGCACCAGCUGCACGAGAAGGAUCAUGAGUACAACGCACUUGUCAAGGCCCUCAAAGACAGGGUCAUACUGCUUGAGAACUGCCUGACGGAAACACAGAAAGCAGCUGGUGUUCCUGUGCAGUUGCCCUAUGAUAAUACUAUGAAACUUCUUACACCUCAAAUGAAGAAGCGAAGGCCACCACCUCCUGCAGUUCCUCUUUCAGAACUGGACAGUGAUGAUUGCCUGAGGUGUGAAUUGAGUCCUGAUGAAGUGUCUGGUGAUCACCGGAGAUCAACAGUAGAGCGGCGUGGCGCGGGCGAUGCAUUUGAUCGAGCGGUGCCUCAUACUGAGCUUCUGGAUUCGACUGCUGCCAAAGCUAAGGCUGAGCUGGCUGCCAAGGGCAGCCUUGCGAACCGACAGCCCCCUUCUGUGUCGGCUCUCAAGAAACAAACGAGCGCUGACCUAGCUUCUCCUGAUGAGCAGCAGGAUCUCAACACAUCUAUCAACAGCACAGGGUCAGAGACAUCAAUUCAAAGCUCAUCUCAUUUAUCUGACACAAGCAAUGCGUCUGACUCUUCACCUACUAGACCUCUGUCCCAGCAGCUUGGUGAUGACUUUAAGUCAGCUGUCCUUCAGUGGCAAAAUAAGGGGCACACUGAGAGCUCUGGGUCCCUGGGCUCCUUGGACAGCCCACCUGGAAGGCGAGUCUCCUCACUCUCUUCACCAACAGACUCCCAGCAGAGCCUCUCACCAGUCCCCACACCACCACCUCAUGCUCAGAAAGUUACUCUGCUCACUCAUAAGAAGAUUGAUAGCAGCUUGCCUCGGGACUGCGGCAGCAGUAGCAGCUUGCGGUCUAGCAGCAGCAACCAGGGGGAGUCCAGUGGACGCGAACGGCGGGAAGAAGUGAGGCCACAUCACUGGCAGAGUGGCCCUGUGGAUCGCUGGAGUGUGUCCCAGGUGGGCCAGUGGCUGGUGGUGCUGGGCCUCGAAGCACAUGUGGCCACCUUUGCCACUCAGGGCGUUGGUGGUGAGGCUUUGCUGCAGCUAGACAGUGCCCGACUUAAGGAGCUGGGAGUGGUGUCUACAAGUGAUCGGUCUUUGCUAAAGAAAAAGAUCAAGGAGCUUCGUUCCCAGCUGGACAAGGAGCGCAAGGCCCAAGAGAAGGAAUUACGUGCCCGUGAGAAACUUCAGCGCAAGGCAGACAAGGCAAAGCGCAAGUGAGCCCACAGCUCUUUGACUGAGAACAGCCAUGGUGGCUUUUACCUUUGUUGCCACUCUCCUUGGAGAAUUCAUGUGAGCUAGCGUGUGCUAAGUUCAUUCCGAACACAACGAACGUCACACUCACUAUGUGCAUUGGGCAGCCCCAGGAAUAAGCUACCUGAGAGCAUGCUCCUCUGGGAAGGAUGUGAUGCUGCGUAUAUUUUUUUUUUUGUUUAUUUCAAUAUGCUAUGCUUUGAGGCAGUCUCUGGAACAGAGAUCUUUAGAGGGAAUGAUGGUUCAUGAGUGUUCCCGUUAUUGUCUUUCCUCGUUUGUUUGCUUGCACAUAUGGCUGAAGGCCUUAUUAGUAUGUAAAUGCACAUGCACACAUAUAUUUAACAAACAUUCCUUUUACACCAGAGUUUAUGUGACGCCUAUGGGUUGUAACUGAUCCCCCGGCAGCUAGUGGAAGUCCCUUGUAUUGUUGCUGCUGUUAAGGCAGGGAGUGGUUGAUUUUUGUCCUGAACACUACCACUCCCUAUUAUUCCCCCACCCCCCAUCCCAUCGUGUGUGUGUGUGUAUCAAUUAUGUUUGUUUUUUGCCCUUUUAGAUAUUCAGUGUGUCAUUUCACAGAGGUUCUUGUUUGUCCCCCAUCACUUGCAGAGCUCACUCCUUAAGAUGUCAUUGUAGUUGUGGCUCCGUGUACCAUUUUGUACAUUUCAUAUGAGUACCUAGUAUUUGUUGUGUUCUUGUUGAUCUUAGUCAUGUAGGAUGUCGUGGGGCAGUGAAUGAGUGUUUCGAUUCUUGAGGGCGUGAGGGCAGCCGUGCACGCAGGCUAUUUCUUCUUGAAUCAAUAUUCACUUGAUUUUGCUCCCUCUGUCUUCUGUGCUAUCUUCCAUUUGCUCUGCUCAUACUGCACCGUACUAUUCUUGUGCCCGACUUAUUGUAUUUCCCUGUCGCUUUGCAUGUGUGAAACUCAGAAAAUACUUGCCUAAAGUUGCGGCUAUAAUGUGUGGGUGCUGUUUCUAUUGUUGCAAUUUUUUUUUCUCAAGAUACCUCUGUGCAUGUUACCAAAAUUGGGGCCAUUUCUUUUAAAGACAGGGUACCAUGUCUGUACAGUAGAACAUUGCUGUUGUAAGCUGCUUUGUGGUUAACAUAUUGAACCAGUAAGAAAAUGCAUUGUCGGCCACUCUUGUUAACAGACCCAGUUGCAGAACAGAAAGUCCAUAAAUUUUAUUGGUUGGUGGUAGGUUUUUUUUUUUCUGCUUAUUUCCCAGUUUUCAUAUUUUAGAACACAAUAACGUGUAAAGAGCAAUAUUCAUUGUACUGAUGCUAUAAGUUUGUAUCAUGUGUAGACUUAUAGAGAAAGCGUCCACCCAAAUUACAAAUUAAGUGGUAUGAAGUGCAGAAAAAGUUUGACUGAAAUUAUACUCUACGGUUUAAGCUGGAUGCAACACGCACUUUGAGGUAAAGCACACUAGAUUGCAUACUGCCAAUGCCGGCAAUGUACAUGAUCAAAUGUCUUGGUCGCAUUGCCUAAUGUAUGCUGCUUGCCAAGUUAUUUUUUUCCCCAGAUAGCUACUGUAAGCUGCUGUAGGCAAAAACGUCUGUACUCUCACACUUGUACUGUAUAACUGGAAUCAAUGUCUGGCUUUGUUUUUAAUGAAAGCUGCGUAGCACUGCAUUUGUGUUCUUGUCCUGUGGUACUUUCAGCUCAUGCAGAGAAAAAAAACAACACUUCUGUUGCAGUGAGAAUACCAACAUGUUAAAGGUGUCUUUUUUGCUUAAUGAACUGUGCAUGCUACAGCAGUGUUCUACUGUACUAGUAUUUAAUAAGUUGAUGUCAGAUGCUUUUCAAAAGCUUUUAUUUAGAGAUUGCAGAAGUUAUGGUGUAUUUUACCUAUGUUAUAGUUUGUGAACUAGCACUGUUGUUUCAGGGUGGCCGAGUAAAUAGCUCAGUCUUAUCUUUUCCAGGCAGAGCUGCAUUUCAGUGCAUGAAUUAUCAUGCAGAGUACCAGUCUAUGAGAGUUUGUCUUGUGUUACAUUAUUGGCAGCUGCUAUGCACUCCUUUUUUUUUUAAAACUGUGUUAACUGCUCUUCUUUGUAGCUGUGCUGGUUGUGAAACUCUGAAGGUGCUGGUUUUAUGACAGAAUUUGCAAGUAUGUUGAGUAGCACUUUACAACCUCAAAGACUUUAGCAGGAAAAGAUUUUAAGCAACAUUUAUUUAUGCCAAUGGUAUUCACUCAUUCUUAUUGUGUUUUUUUUCCAUAUGUAAACUUGUGGCAUUUCUGCAUAGCAGUCAUUAAAAAAAAAAAAAAAAGCCAUGGGCCGCUCAUGCACUGCCUUUUUGUAUAUUGAACAUGUCACAUUUGCAGACUGUCAAAUGUCUUGGCUCAUAGCUGUGUGUGUGGUGUGAGUGCAAGUCCCAUGUGAUGGGACUUGAGCAUAAUUGGGCUAAACACGAUGUUUCCUUAUGAGUUGCUGUGUAACACAUGAAAAUGGGUGCAGAUUGGAUUCGGUGAAUUAAAACAUACUACCACUCUUACUACGGCAGUGGGCUGCAGCACAAAGGUUAUCGAACUUGAUUCAAGUUGGUGAUGAUUUAAAGUACUGGCGUAAAAUUAUUAUUACGUUAUUCUAGCUUUAGAUUGAUUGGAUGGUGUGUUGAGUGUUGCAGCCAAUGACAAAUGUGAAACAGAUGGCUUGGCCUUGAAAACUUCAAAUGCAUUAUACUAUGCUGGUGCUUUUGCAUUCAAUAUAUUUUGUAGCUUUCGAAUGGUGUUUCUGAAGGAUAGGAUGUAGGAUAUAGGCUGCUGAAUAUUGAUUUUCAGCAAAGGAAAAUGCAGAAGUGAACCAAACCUUUGAUGUUUGGCUCUUUGUCACUUCUGAGGACUCCGCCACUUCUUAUCUCUUUUGAAGAUGAUAGGCUCCUGGCAUUUCUGACUUUGCUCACUGUCUUUUGACAGCUGAACUGCCCUUCUCUGAUGCACUUGACUAAUUGCUGUGGGUUGCUGGCAGAGCAUCAGAAUGUUAAGAGAAGCCAUUUACUGAGACAGAUGGAUACCCCUGUGUAACGAAAAAGAAAUCGUAAUAUAUGUGUGUAUGUAAAAAAAAUUGAAAAAGGAAGUUCAGCAGUCAUGGCUGACGGUAAAAGUAAUAUGCGUGUGGUGGUGUGGUGUUGUAACAUUUUCAUGAAGUACUGUUUCAUUAGCCUGCAGUAAGAAAUCUUCAAGUCUGGAGGGAAAACUCUUUAGUAAUUUUUCCAGUGGUCCAGAAAUUACUUAUUUGGUGCAACACAAUGUUUCAAUUGCACUGGCAGGUUGGAUUACUAAUGAAGCAGGCAUAUGCCAAUACACUGAACCUGAAAGAACCAAGGUAACUUCAGAAUGUUGCGGAAGGUGCAUGGGUUCAUGCUAGGUUUCUUUUGCUCAAAGCAUCCAGAGAGCACAUGAACAAAUGCUGAAGCAUAACUCCAGCUUUCCUGUCAGUUGGCUCUCACUUUACUCUAUACAGGCCCUCGACGCUUGCGUGACAGUUUUUUGUACAUGCUGUGAUAGCGCCUGAAAACUUGAUGUUUUUCAUUUUAUGUUUACAAAGUACAUAUUAUACUUAAAGUGAUGCUCGAACUAAAAUCAGGCACUUUUUUUUCUUUUUUACCAGUAUGUGCAUUCAUUGCACACAUAUGCCAGUAGAAGUAGUGCUUGUAGUGUUGUAGCUCAAGAUCUGCUCCUUCAUUUGGAAGGACUUAAAUUGCAGGCAGAGACCUUGAUGUAUUUUGUCCAUGUCAUCUCUUGAAGGCUGCAUGUGUCAUGGUGAUUUGGCUGUGGUUUUUAAGUUCGCGUGAAUAAAUUGGAUUGAUGACAACACAGCAGUCACAGGUACCUUGUGUACACAUGCACACACAAGUUUUGAAUAAGUUAACGUGGAGAGGAAGGAAAUAAACUAGGAAGGAGCAUUACAUCAUGCAGCUAGCCUUUGCAAAUCAAUUCUUCGUGAAGCCAUCCCCUUUGCCUCUUCUCUUUCAAAAAGUCAGCCUAACACAAGAUCUUGCUCGGCGAGCUUGGCUUGGUGUGCUUGGUUCCCAGUAGGCCUUAACUGACGAGCACAGGCCACUUGCUCCAGUCCUUUGCCAAUCACUCUGUGUUGAAUUUCCCCUUUUCUCCUCUUUCCUGUUCACCCAGCAUAGGGCAGUCAACCAGAAGCUUUUCUGGUUAACCUUCCUGCCUUCUGCCUUUCCGUUUCCUUCCUUCCUUUCUUUCUCCAGGUAUAUUCACAAUAAUUUGAAGAGUCUGCUCAGAGUGCAGCUAGCAUGAUGGUGGAAGACACUAAAACCUACUCCAGAACGAGCAUGUAUAAAACCAACUUACGUGACUUGUGUUGUGCAGUGAUCCCUCCUAUUUCUUUCUUUCCUCCAUGUUUACAUAUUUCCAGAAGAAGAUUUUGUUUUGUCUUUGGAUGCAAACAGUGAUCUUUAUUACUGCAACUUCUUUGUGAAGAUUGAGGUGCUAGGCUGCUCAUGAUAGGUGUGAAAACAAAAAGUUUAAUAUAUGUGGGUGCCCCAUAAUGGCAUAGACUAGAGACACAUUUGAAAUUGUGCAUUUCUUUGUUUUAAGCAAGGCUUUCUCUGAUAGACAGGCUUGCAUCUUGAAUAAAUUUUGUACGACAAAUUUGCAUUUUGUAGUAAAUUAUGUAGCUUGAACUCGAUGAUCUGAGUUUGAAGAAAUAAAAUUGUGGUUUUUAUGCAGUCAUA
rnacentral:misc_RNA from 1 species